UUAAUAUAGUAUCAUGAAGGCAUAAAUAAUAAACAUCACAAUUGUUCAAAAGGUCUUCAUCGUUCACUUCAGAUUGAAUUGUGGUCACCAUUUCAGUUGCAUUACCCGCAUUUUCCUACACAGUCAAAAUGAAAUUAAGAAUUAAAAAGAAUAUAAGUAUACAAUAUCAUAUUGGAAUCUGUAAUAUGGUUAAUAUUUAAUGUACUAUGUUGAAUCAACAAUAUGGCUCCUAUGUGAAAAUUCAGAUGAUUAAUCUUGGUUAGAGUAGACCUUUCAUAUAGUAUCAUGAAGGCAUAAAUAAUAAACAUCACAAUUGUUCAAAAAGUCUUCAUCAUUCACUUCAGAUUAAAUUGUAGUCUCCAUUUCAGUUGCAUUACCCGUAUUUUCCUACACAGUCAAAAUAAAAUUAAGAAUUAAAAAGAAUAUAAGUAUACAAUAUCAUAUUGGAAUCUAUAAUAUGGUUAAUAUUUAAUGUACUAUGUUGAAUCAACAAUAUGGCUCCUAUCUGAAAAUUCAGAUGAUUAAUCUUGGUUAGAGUAGACCUUUUAUGCAAUAUGGUAUAAAGUUGCUUGUUAAUUCGAAGUUACAACUUACAUACAAGUUUGCAUAAUAAUACAGUAUUGAAUAUGAUGAACUCAUUUAAACAAAUUUCUGAAAAUAGGGAUGAAUACAGUAAAUAACUCAAGUAACAACUCAAGCACAGAAAGAAGUAUAAAAAUGAAAAUAGUAAGAAAAGUUCACAACUGAUAUACAAGUUCUUAAAACAAUGUUAAAAAUGAUAACACAUUUAAACACACAUUUCCGAAAAUAGGUAUGAUAACGGUAACUGGCUCAAUUGGAGCAGGUACUAGCUUUGACAUAAAAAUACUAACACAAGCAGAACUUUGGAAAAAAAAAAAAGGCCAGACAACAAUACAUCAAGAACCACUAUGCAAAUCUCAUGACAUAUGCCAACAAAGACUUAACAUUUGCAAGGGAAGUGUAACUGGAAUUAUAAUGCCCAAAGGCAUAAAAUAAUUAAAAUUAUUCUGCAUUCACAUCACAUACAUUUUACAUUCUAGAGCAAAGUAAAAGUGAAACACUAAUAAAGCAGUGAAGUAGUCAGAUUUCUUUCCAAUCCCAAAGAUAAGUACAGAAAAUAUCCCGCUAAGGAUGUAAAUGCCAAAAUGAAAGUAUCAUUGCAUAGUGUAUUUGAGUUGGAUAAAGUCUUCCAUACUUGUUGAGUUCAAAAAUAUUUGCAUAGAGUUUGUGAGUUGGAUAAUAAGUUUCACAAUGAAACACUAACCUCUUUUUUUUUAUAAUCAUGGUAUCCGGGCCAGCUUGCACGCACCUCGAUUAAUUUCACGGGAUAGUGUCACCUCCCACCAACAACAAGUAUUAGAUAACUCUAUCCACCAAGGCUUGGAAUGAUGGGAAAAAAUCACCUAGUGUUUUUGUUUUCAUCGGAAUUUUAACCUGAAACAUCAUGGUUUUCACUCACUUCAUUGACUGCUAUAUCACACCCCUGAUUGCUUGAAAUACUAACCUCUCUUCCUUGUUCAGAUAGUGUUAAAAUUCUCUAGUGCCUAAUCACAAGAAAAAGUCUUCUUCAAGAAUAGGAAAAAGUUAAAACAAAAAGGGAAAGUAGCACAUUGGAUGAUCAAGCAUCCGAGCAAAUGAAAUUAGGGUCGGCAAAAAAAAGAAUAGGACAAAUUAUAUUCCUACAUGUUCUAUUAGUAACAUUCCCUUGAGAUCUUACUGCGGAUUUUGCUUGUGGUUAAUCUUUCCCAAUUAAGAAUCAUACAAGAAUUUCUGAAAAUUUUGCAUACUGAGCUUUUUGUAUAGGUGUCCCCUGGAUAAUAAUGUAUGAAGAAAGGAGGGGAAAAGGCAAAACAACUUAAGAUCCUAGUCCUCUUAGAAAGGGAAUGGAUCAUUUUCCCGAUUAUUCAGAUCUUCACGGGUUUGAGACAAUCCUCUAUUCAAGUACUCUUUCUUCUACUCGAGCCUCGGCAUAGCCUAAACAUAUCUGUCAAAUGAAGAAUAUAUACUUGUGAAGUUAACACUAAGCAACCAUUGUGAAAAUAUCCAUAGUUUCAAACCCAAAUAGUAAUAUAACUCUAUGCUACCUUAGCAUAUUUGCUCCCUUGAUACUCAGAGAAUAAAUUCAGAACAAUCAAAAUUUACCUUUUCACAAAUCAAACCAUAAGUUGACCAUAGAAAUGUUGAAGAUGUCGGCUUCUCAUAUCCCGUGCACUACUCGCAUCAAUCAGAGAAGGUAAGUUAGAUUCGACAUACCCUCCUAUAUCUGAAUGUACAGACCAAAGUUGGUUGCACCAAUACAUUAAACAAGAUGUCGCAAUUGUUCUCGUUCCUGCACUUCUUCCUUCAUGUCUUGCAUUUCAUCAUUCACAGAAAAUAACUGAAUCUAAGCAAGAGUUCAUUUCAAAACAACAAGUGUAUCAAAUAUGAAUUUUCAAAAAAUGUUUAAUCAUUUGGGCAGUAAUAACAUUAAUUAAGCAAAGAGCUAAUGAAUGAAAAUAAUCCUAACGAAGAAAUCAAAUAAAAAAUUAAAAAAAAAAACUAAAGAAAGGAAAAACAUUAGCAGCUCGAAACUUAAAACGACAGAUAUAUCGCAUUCAUAUGCAAGCUCAAGACAUAAUAGGUAUAAGUUAAAUUAAGAAGCAACACUUAGAGAACAAUCAGUAUCUAUAUGUUUGCCCUGUGGAAAGAGGUGCAUCCACACAUGUGAAUAAUAAGAACAAUCAAUAUCUGUAUGCUUGCACUGUGGAAAAAAGAGCAUACACAUAUGCGAAUAAUAAGAACAAUCAAUAUCGGUAUCUAUCAUUACUCACUACAGUUGGUAUUGUAUUCAUAUAAGAACAAAAAAGAUAAUCCUUAACUAAUAUAUACAGUUUAUACAUUGGAAAGAAACACGACAAGUAUAUUCAUAAAUAUUGCCAAUUAUAUUUUCACUAGAUGAAUAAUAUUUCACUUGAAUGAAAGAUAAUCCUUCAGCAAUAAUCAUUUUGUUCAUCUGUUCGCCAUUAAGAGAAAAUCUUAUUUAGCAACAACAUCGCAAAACUCUACCAAGAAACUGAAUUAAACUUCUAACUGUUUUGACUCCACUAUCAAAAUUAAAGGUGCAAGAAUUAGAUUUGGAUUCAGACCUAGGCUAUAAAAGUAUUUUCUAAUAACAUGAUUGUAAAAAGGAGAUAUUUCAACUAAAAUAAUUUACUUAAAGAACGUUGAAAUUAAUCCAAUCUACGGCUAAGAAGAAUUGGAUUCACUUGUUAUGCGACUAAGCUUCAAAUUAAUUUCUCUACAUAGUUAGAGUAAGGUUAUAGCUUUGGAAGUAUACUUAAAAUAUUUUUUGGCUAAAUAUUAGACUAAAAUUGUAUGCGAGAAUCAACAUCAAAAGAAACAAAGCAUCGAUAAGAUCUAAACUCGGUGAUAAAGAAAAGGAAGACUACCAAGAACGAAGCUAAGUCAUUUAUACGAAUCCCUUAGUUUAAUCACGAAGGUUGUGAAAAUAGCUAGCUGGGUCACGCUCAAGUCAUCCCUGUAAAUGUAAUCACCUCUUGGAGCUUUCAUCAUUUUUGAGUUGCACCAUUCAUUUGAGCCACAAUAAAUGAAGCAAAAAUGGUUUAAGUAGAAUAAUUGUCAGAGUUAGGGUUAUUCGACAAUGGAGAUUUUUAAUUGUGCCCUAGGAGAUAUGAUAAUCUGAUGUACUACUCAAAUGCUUAUUAACUACCGAAAGGAAAACACAAAAAAAGGAUGAAAUUUAGUAGAGUAGUAAAGAGAUACAAACACAUACAAAGACCCAUUUCAAUAUAGCACAGGGAUCUGCUUCGACAAAUUUCUCUGCGACACCCAUUCUUUCCAUCAGCUCCUUCGGCGGCUCAAUCUUUCCAUAUCGUAAAAAUAUGCCAUUGUGUGUAAGAGUUUUGGGAGCUAUAAAUUUUGGGAGGUUUCCACGAAAUUAAAGCAAGGAAUUGAAGAAAUUGAAACACUAAUGAAAAAUGAAAGGGAGAUGAAAAU
rnacentral:lncRNA from 1 species